CAGUUAGUCAACAAUUUGUCCAUAGAUGGCGCUUUGGUGAAUCAACUUUCUGGCAGCUCUGACAACAUUCAUGUUCUGAGAAUAACUCCUGCCGGAUUCGUCUAUAGAUGUUGUAAGUACACUUCACAUUUGACCAGACUGACAAAUUAUGAACUACAAUGUGCUCUAAGGACCUUCACGCAUGACAAAGCAGAUUUUUCCAGGAUCGGACUUUAAUUAAGCCAGAUAUAGUUAUUUUAAGUUGAAAUAAGCAACAAUUGUAAUUUA